UUAUUUGUCUGCUGGUUGAACGGAGAUAAAAGUACUGUCUCUGCACUUAAACAACACAAACACUUUAUCUACAACAAACACACAGGAACAUUUGAAUUUAUCUCUUCCUUAAUUGUUGGAAAAAGUGAGGAUCAACUCAUUUUGAGGUAACGCUGUCAACAUGGCGCAAGACAAUCCAUCGUAUUUAAACACCGAAGCCACAAAGAAAUUUUCAAACAUGGAGACUGAAGACGCACUCACCUUCAACUCCAACAAAGCAAAGAAGAGAGAACCAAUUCUUAUUGUAAUUCUUAUUGUGUUGGUCAUCAUCAUCGUGGCCUUCAUCAUCCUGUACGCCAAAGAAAGAGAGGACAACAAAGAUUCGUCCAGUUCUGGAUCAAGAGGCAGAGUCAAUGGCACAGUUGCUCCGACUACCAAGAAACCGAUCUCCACCAAGACCGAUCGCC